ACACCUUAUGGGCAGAGGUAGAGAAGCAGAGUAUGGGCACUAGCACAGCUUACCUUUUUAUCUUCCUCUUGGACUGGCAGCAUGGACUGGAAAAUUGUCCCAACCAUCUUGGACACACCUCAGGCAGGUGCUGCCAGCUGCCAUGGCCGAGGCAUGAGGUUCGACGUGGUGAUCAAGGAGGUGCAGGGAACAGAGAAACUGAAUAUUUUGUUUGCAAGACGGUUAUCAUAUACUCUAAUUCAGACAUAAGUGAUGAUACAAUAACGCGCUUCGCCAAAUUCUAAUU